rnacentral:SRP_RNA from 1 species
CAGGGCACGAAGGUAGCAGCCGUCAGU